rnacentral:rRNA from 1 species
GACGAACGCUGGCGGCGUGCUUAACACAUGCAAGUCGAACGGAAAGGCCCUGCUUUUGUGGGGUGCUCGAGUGGCGAACGGGUGAGUAACACGUGAGUAACCUGCUCUUGACUUUGGGAUAACUUCAGGAAACUGGGGCUAAUACCGGAUAGGAUCUCCUGUUGCAUUGUGGGGGUUGGAAAGUUUCGGCGGUUGGGGAUGGACUCGCGGCUUAUCAGCUUGUUGGUGGGGUAGUGGCUUACCAAGGCUUUGACGGGUAGCCGGCCUGAGAGGGUGACCGGCCACAAUGGGACUGAGAGACGGCCCAGACUCCUACGGGAGGCAGCAGUGGGGAAUAUUGCACAAUGGGCGGAAGCCUGAUGCAGCAACGCCGCGUUCGGGAUGACGGCCUGCGGGUUGUAAACCGCUUUCGCCUGUGACGAAGCGUGAGUGACGGUAAUGGGUAAAGAAGCACCGGCUAACUACGUG